GAUGAGGUGUCCAAGUGCUUAUGGUGAUGGGCUGCUAAUCUAGUGUGCUGUGUACACAUGGGUUCAAAUCCCAUCCUCACUG
rnacentral:tRNA from 1 species